UACAGAGGUCCCAAGCGUUGUUCGGAAUUACUGGGCGUAAAGGGUGCGUAGGUGGUGAGGUAAGUCGGAUGUGAAAUCUCCGGGCUCAACCCGGAAAUGGCAUUGGAAACUACCUUGCUGGAGGAUUUGAGGGGGGAUUGGAAUACUUGGUGUAGCAGUGAAAUGCGUAGAUAUCAAGUGGAACACCAGUGGCGAAGGCGAAUCCCUGGACCACAACUGACGCUGAGGCGCGAAAGCUAGGGGAGCAAACAGG
rnacentral:rRNA from 1 species